UACGUAGGCAGCGAGCGUUGUUCGGAAUUACUGGGCGUAAAGAGUGUGUAGGCGGUGUUCCCAGUCUGUUGUGAAAUCUCCCGGCUUAACUGGGAGGGUGCAGCGGAAACUAGAAUGCUAGAGGGUGGGAGAGGUAAGCGGAAUUCCCGGUGUAGCAGUGAAAUGCGUAGAGAUCGGGAGGAACAUCUGUGGCGAAGGCGGCCACCUGGACCAGCACUGACACUGAGGCACGAAAGCAUGGGGAGCAAACAGG
rnacentral:rRNA from 1 species